CUGCUGCCUCCCGUAGGAGUCUGGUCCGUGUCUCAGUACCAGUGUGGGGGACCUUCCUCUCAGAACCCCUACGCAUCGUCGCCUCGGUGGGCCGUUACCCCGCCGACUAGCUAAUGCGACGCAUGGCCAUCCUAUGCCGGAGUCGCCUCCUUUGACCCCAAGAAGAUGUCUCCUAAAGGUGUUAUGCGGUAUUAGACGGAAUUUCUUCCGCUUAUCCCCCUGCAUAGGGCAGGUUCCAUACGUGUUACUCACCCGUGCGCCGG
rnacentral:rRNA from 1 species